rnacentral:rRNA from 1 species
AUGGUGCUCUCCACCCGCUGGCGCUGCGUCUGGGCGGCGACCCCGCUCCUCGUCGACGACGCUCACCUCCGGGCCGCCGACGGGCUCUGCGAGUUCCGCGCCGUCCGCGCCGUCUCCCGCCGCGUGGCCGCUCACCCGGGCCCCGUCGUCGCCGCGCGCGUCACCCGCCUCUCCUUCGACCAGCAGGAGUACGCGCUUCAGCAGCUGAUUGCCAACCUUGCCGCGAGGAACAUCCAGGACCUCAUCCUCUUCAACCGCCCCUGGCCGCUCGACCUGCCGCUCCCCGACGAUAUCCUCAGCUGCGCCUCCCUCACCCGCCUCUACAUCGGUCUCUGGCGAUGGCGCUUCCCAGACACGACCGCCAACUCGCCUGCCUUCCCCAACCUUCAGGAGCUCGGCCUUUUCCACACCAUCAUCAAGGACACGGAAGUCGAUGCCUUGCUCGCGCAUUGCCCCAAGCUGAAGAUCCUCUCCUUUGCCAUGGCGUACAGCUUCCCUUCUUGCCUCCGCAUCAGGUCCCGCAGCCUCCGUAUCGUGGUCGAAUGGUUAUGCAGCUUCGAUGAAGUCAUCGUUGAGGAUGCACCCUGCCUGGAGCGCCUGUUCUUCGAAAGCUUUGCCGACCGGAGUCCCGUCAAGAUUGUCCACGCACCCCGGCUGGAGGUGCUCGGUUUCUUAGACCUCCAGCUCCACGUGCUCGAGAUUGGCGGCAUUGUGAUCAGGGCUGGGAUGAAUGUGAGAGCCAGUGCCAUGCUGCCAAGUUUGAAGAUACUGGCUGUCAAGGUGCGGUUUUCGCAUGCAGCGGAGGCUAAGAUGCUGCACACUCUACUCAGAUGCUUUCCUCGCCUUCAGACGCUUCAUGUCAUGUUCCAGUCCAUUGGAUCCAGGUCACCUGAUAGUGUUGAUCGUGCUGACUUCUGGCAGUCCAUGGGCACAUGCGAUUGCCUUGAAUCUCAUCUGGAGACGCUUGUCCUCCACGGCUUCCAGGGCCUUGAAUGUGAGCAGCUGUUCGUCAGUUACAUACUGGAGAAGGGGAAGGUGCUUAAGACCCUGAGCGUUGUUUAUGUUGACAGUGAGGAUGUAGGAGUAGAGGAAGGCCCCAUCUCAGGUUCUGUUGAUGAGAGCAAUGUGUCAUCUGGUGGAAGAAGUAGCAGUGAUGAUGUGGUAAUGGAGGGAGGCAUGAUGUCAGGUUCUGUUGAUGAGGGCGAUAUAUCAUCAGGUGGAAGCAGUAGCAGUGAUGAUGUGGUAAUGGAGGGAGGUCCGAUGUCAGGUUCCAUUGGUGAGGGCAGUGCGCCAUCAGGUGGAAGCAGUGGCAAUGAUAUGAUUUAUUUUUGUCCGUCCGCCUCUUGCUGGAGCUUUCAGAACGCCAUUGACUUGUCAGUGGAGGAUCCUUUCUGCGUGUUGUUGAGGCAGGCCCGGAUCACUUCUGCUGUUGCGGAUGUCGUA